AUGACUCCCAUCCGAUCUGAUUUGCUCUCCCCUCCCAGUAGGGACUGGUCUGAUCUAGACGACGGGCCGGCCGGGCUGAUCGCCGAGCGCGUCCUCGCGUAUGACGUCGCCGACUAUCUCCGCUUCCGUGCCGUGUGCCGCGCAUGGCGGCAGUGCUGCACAGAACCGUGCUCCCACAGCGGGCUCGACCGCCGGUUCCAUCCCUGGCGGUGGGUCCUGCUCCACGACCCCCUCGCUGCUCCCAACCGUCGUAGCUUCCUCAACUCUUCCACUGGCGAGUGCAUUCAACUGGACAUCCCAGAGCUCGUUGACCAUGAGCUGCUGGGUGUCACCCCCGAGGGCCUCCCAGAGUAAAUUGCAACUCCACGACCAUAACCACGUCCGCUGCUCAACCCGCUCACGUGUCACCUCAUGAAGCUACCGCCGCUCACCACGCUGCUGCCCUCUAAGGACCAUGUCAUGCUUUCCUAUUUCGACAUAGACUACUUCUUAGCGACGGGCUCGGGCAUUGCUAGUGAUGAUUCAACAGUAGUGCUCUGUUUCAAUACGCUGCGCAUGCUUGGCAUUGCCAAGCCCGGCGACGACAACUGGAUGUUGCUGAAGUACAACCAUGAUGGGUUCACAAAAACGCCCUUAAUGUUUGCAGGGCGCUUCUACCUCGUUAACGCUCAUGGUGUCAUGGUGCUCCAAAUCGGUCCAAACCAGAAACCACGGCUGGAGGUGGUUGCCAAACUGAAUAUGUGUGUCUCGCCGAUUUCGCAAAAUAUGCAGCUCGUCAACAAUUGUGGUCAGCUGAUGCUGCUGCACCGUCUGAUUGUACCAUUAAAGUCGCGGAAUAAUUGGGGCGAUCGAUACGACAUGUAUCGAGUGAACUUGGAUAAGGGGACACUGUUCCGCGUCAAGAGCUUGGGCGAUGGUCGCGCAAGGCGUGCGAUGUUCUUGGGCUUGUAUUGCUCUUUCUCGGUAUCUCUAGAGGUUUUCCCCUCUGGCUCCAUUAGUGUUAACACCAUCUACCCGAGCUUUGACUUCGACAAAAGAAGGUUAUUAAAAGUUGGAGCAUACCAUCUCCCGUAUGGACGCAUCGAAAGACCAUGUAGGUUGGUGCUAGGGCCGCAUACUCUCGUUGACUAUAUAGCUUUGUCCAACAUGGUCCAUGGAUGA
rnacentral:rRNA from 1 species